GACGAACGCUGGCGGCGUGCUUAACACAUGCAAGUCGAACGAGUGGCGAACGGGUGAGUAUUACGUGAGUAACCUGCCCUAACUGUGGGAUAAGCCUGGGAAACUGGGUCUAAUACUGCAUAGUUGGGGAUGGGCUCGCGGCCUAUCAGCUUGUUGGUGGGGUGAUGGCCUACCAAGGCGGUGACGGGUAGCCGGCCUGAGAGGGGGGUCGGCCACACUGGAACUGAGACACGGGCCAGACUCCUACGGGAGGCAGAAGGGGGGAAUAUGGCACAAUGGGCGCAAGCCUGAUGCAGCCAUGCCGCGUGUAUGAAGAAGGCCUUCGGGUUGUAAAGUACUUGCAGAGAGGAGGCGUUACUCGCAGAAGAAGCACCGGCGAACUCCGUGCCAGCAGCCGCGGUAAUACC
rnacentral:rRNA from 1 species